GAUUAACGCUAGCGGCAGGCAUAAUACAUGCAAGUUGAACGGGAUUAGGUUUAGCAAUAGACUUAUGAGAGUGGCGCACGGGUGCGUAACACGUAUGCAACCUGCCCCUGACAGGAGGAUAGCCUCUCGAAAGAGAGAUUAAUAUUCCAUAACAUAUAGGUUAAGCAUUUAAUUUAUAUCAAAGCUCCGGCGGUCAGGGAUGGGCAUGCGGCUGAUUAGGUAGUUGGUGAGGUAACGGCUCACCAAGCCGACGAUCAGUAGGGGGUCUGAGGGGAUGUCCCACCACACUGGUACUGAGACACGGACCAGACUCCUACGGGAGGCAGCAGUAGGGAAUAUUGGUCAAUGGGGGCAACCCUGAACCAGCCAUGCCGCGUGCAGGAAGACUGCCCUAUGGGUUGUAAACUGCUUUUGUACGGGAAGAAAUCAAUCUACGUGUAGGUUGUUGACGGUACCGUGAGAAUAAGGAUCGGCUAACUUCGUGCCAGCCGCCGCCGUAAAAC
rnacentral:rRNA from 1 species